GGGUUGUUAGCUCAGCUGGUAGAGCAGCGGACUUUUAAUCCGUUGGUCACAGGUUCGAAUCCUGUACAACCCACCA
rnacentral:tRNA from 1 species